ensembl:lncRNA
CUACCACACUCUCAAGUACUUUCAUAUCGUCGACACCCCGGCCACCUGCGAGAGGCCUGAUCUUUCCCUGGCUGGCAUAGAUCCUUUCAUGUCCAGCUUUGUGGAACAGGAGUCGGCCAAAUGACUAUAAGAUCCAAAUCGUAACAGGAACGCAAACUGUGACCAUAGGUCCUGUGCACCGUGCACUCAACAUGCUUCAAGGACAGAGGAGUUACAACACCAUCACAAGUAAUCAGAACAGCUGAAAUGACAAUGACCACCUCCAGGCUGUGUAAGGUCUAUUUGACAAAGAAGGAGAGUGAUGCAUCAGAUGACCUGGCCUCCACAAUCACGCGACCUCAACCCAAUUGAAUUGGUUUGGGAUGAGUUGGACCGCAGAGUGACGGUAAAGCAGCCAGCAAGUGCUCAGCAUAUGUGGGAUCUCCUUCAAGAUGGUUGGAAAAGCAUUCCAGGUGAAGCUGGUUGAGAAAAUGUCAAGAGUGUGCAAAGCUGUCAUCAAGGCAAAGGGUGGCUACUUUGAAGAGUCUAAAAUAUA